GAUGAACGCUGGCGGCGUGCCUAAUACAUGCAAGUAGAACGCUGAAGGAGGAGCUUGCUCUUCUGGAUGAGUUGCGAACGGGUGAGUAACGCGUAGGUAACCUGCCUGGUAGCGGGGGAUAACUAUUGGAAACGAUAGCUAAUACCGCAUGACAACAGUUAUUGCAUGAUAACUGUUUAAAAGGGGCAACUGCUCCACUACCAGAUGGACCUGCGUUGUAUUAGCUAGUUGGUGAGGUAACGGCUCACCAAGGCGACGAUACAUAGCCGACCUGAGAGGGUGAUCGGCCACACUGGGACUGAGACACGGCCCAGACUCCUACGGGAGGCAGCAGCAGGGAAUCUUCGGCAAUGGACGGAAGUCUGACCGAGCAACGCCGCGUGAGUGAAGAAGGUUUUCGGAUCGUAAAGCUCUGUUGUAAGAGAAGAACGAGUGUGAGAGUGGAAAGUUCACACUGUGACGGUAUCUUACCAGAAAGGGACGGCUAACUACGUG
rnacentral:rRNA from 1 species